AAGAGAUUUUAGCUUUUCAUUUAAAAAAAAUAAAAAAUAAUCUAAAAAUGUUGAAAAACAUAAUUCCACUUUGACGUUAUGUGUGUAGGCCAGGUACCAACAAAUCUUAACGGAAUCCAUUUUAAAUUCACAACAAAAUGUGGGAAAAAGUCAAGGGGUGUGAAUACUUUCUCAAGGCACUGUAAAUUACAGCCUAAAUUCAGACUUAUUUUGCUGGGGGCAGCAGUGAGGAGAUUUGGGAUCUUUCCCCCACGUGUUUCAAUGGCAUUUCCAUUGUUUAGGUCGAGUUCCAUCGAUCUUUUUAUCGCAUCUAUACUCCAGAGUAUAUUCACAUAACAAUAAGGAAUUCCCCUUGACCACGCCCACAAAUUAAUUCCCCUUGACCACGCCCACAAAUUGGGGAAAACAAACAUUCGUUCCCAUUGACCCCUAGUGCAAAAAAGCCAAAUAGGUUGCUGGUUUAAAAAAAUAUAUAUAUACAGAAUUAACAAAACAUACCAAAAAGCUGCUGUGUUGUUCAAUGUACAUGUAACCAGGCCAACAAUCCAGAUUUUACGGUUGGCAGUGCUCCCACAUAGGGAAAUAGAGCCUGUGAGAAGAGCCCUUUGGCUUCAUGCUAUUCGACGUGGGAAAUUGUGUCGGGCCUUAGUCCAAGUAGGCUACAUGUAGCUAGAGCUCUAUGUAUGUGGAAAAAUGUCAUCACAGCUUCUGUCUAUCGUCAGAAUACACACCAGUCAACUGGGGCCGCUGGCUGGACAGUCCUUUCUUUAAAAACAACAAUGCAUGACAGUUUCGAAGUACCAUCACAUCUGUUACACUGGUGCCGAGUCCAGUCUGGUCUUCAAUGGACAUCUGUUACACUGGUGCAGAGACCAGUCUGGUCUUCAAUGGACAUCUGUUACACUGGUGCAGAGUCCAGUCUGGUCUUCAAUGGACAUCUGUUACACUGGUGCAGAGUCCAGUCUGGUCUUCAAUGGACAUCUGUUACACUGGUGCAGAGACCAGUCUGGUCUUCAAUGGACAUCUGUUACACUGGUGCAGAGUCCAGUCUGGUCUUCAAUGGACAUCUGUUACACUGGUGCCGAGUCCAGUCUGGUCUUCAAUGGACAUCUGUUACACUGUUGCCGAGUCCAGUCUGGUCUUCAAUGGACAUCUGUUACACUGGUGUCGAGACCAGUCUGGUCUUCAAUGGACAUCUGUUACACCUGUCUAGUCUUAACGUUCCUUUAGUUGACCUUCCACUCUCCGAACCCUAUAAACGUUGCAUUACACUUUUCUCCAAAUGAUCUGGUAGCAAGCAGGAGACAGGGGAGACACGGGUCUCAUGGGUGGCACAGCCCACACAAGCUAGCUAGCAACCCAAAGC
rnacentral:lncRNA from 13 species